GUGCCAGCAGCCGCGGUAAUACAGAGACUGCAAGCGUUAUUCGGAUUCACUGGGCGUAAAGGGUGCGCAGGCGGCCAGGUGUGUCAGGUGUGAAAGCCCGGGGCUUAACCCCGGAAUUGCGCCUGAAACUACUUGGCUAGAGCAUUGGAGAGGGUAGCAGAAUUCACGGUGUAGCAGUGAAAUGCGUAGAUAUCGUGAGGAAUACCAGAGGCGAAGGCGGCUACCUGGACAAUUGCUGACGCUCAGGCACGAAAGCGUGGGGAGCAAAAGGGAUUAGAUACCCCAGUAGUCC
rnacentral:rRNA from 1 species